GUUAAAACCUAAAUGAGCAACAAAGGAGGUGACGUGCGUUAUCAGUUUUGUCUUCCAUGUCUUCCUCAUCCUGCUGUUUGCUCCACGGCUCUUGACAGGAUGGAGACGAGGAAAGAACUUCCACAUCCACAUUCAAAACGUCUGCCAGAACUCCCUCAGGUAGGAUUUUUAUGUGUAUGGUCAUUUCAAGUGAAUUUUGUAUACAGAGCAAGGGUCCAGCAUCCACGUGCACUCCUGACCAGGACGUAGAGAGAGGCCCUCCAGGAGGUGUGCAAAGUGGCGUGGAUUUGGGACAGCGAUUUGACAGUAUCUGAGAAAGUUAAAACUCUGCAUCCCCAACACACAGCAAGCCCUGCAGCGGAUGGCACCCUUGCUGGAAAGUGUAUGGUUGCUGACUGGAAGAAAUAUCCAUGACAUGUUGUGAUGUGUGUGCAGCUGCAGACCUCUACGUAGAGUGGGUGCAUGGUGCGUGUGUUCCUGUUUGUGUCUAUGCAUGUGUGUGUGUGCAUGUGUCUUUUGUAAGUACAGGAAGAAGUCAGGAGUCGUCAUGGUAGUGAGGAUAGCAGUACUGUGUCCUAUCAGGGCCAGACACGGCACCUUUCAGAUACUGUAGUCAUGCACUUAAUCCUCAACUGGGUUACCACUGUUAUCUCCAAUUCACAGAUCAGGAAACUGAGGCAAGCGACCAACCUAAGUUGAAUUCUGAAGUCAGGCAACUUGUGUCCAAAGUCCAUGACCAGAAUCUUUCUGUUUUGCCGCCAUGCUCAAAAUAGGAAAGGCAAGGCGAUUACUUUAAAACAUGAAAGAAAUUGCACCUUUUCCUUAAGGGCAAGAUGGUGCUGUGGGCUUUCCUCUCUCCUGAUGAGAUGAUGCAAAUGGACUCCAUAGAGAAACGCUGCCCGUGUAACAAUGCAGUUACGCAACCCGGUGCAUGACACAUGAAUUGCAGCGCACCUGAGAUCCUGAUGAAAUCCUGGGAGCCUGGAGCUGUCAAACAUGGUUUUAAAAAAUAAAGGGAAUACACCCAGCCCACACCCUGACUUUACAACCUUUAAUUAAUUAGAGGAAAGAAAGAGAG
rnacentral:lncRNA from 10 species